GCCUCGUGAAUCUCCCCUGGGCAGAUGAAGUGGACAUGGGUGUCCACACCACCCGCGGUGAGGAUCCGCCCGUUGCCGGAGAUGACCUCUGUGCUCGGCCCGACCACGAAGUUUGUUGGCGUCACCCGCGAGGCUUCCUUCGCGGGCCCACGAUCCGGCAUCUCGAAGCUCGUGAUCUUGUCCAUUGUCUCGGGGUUGUACGCCUUGCCGAUGGCCGCAAUCCUGCCGUCGCGGAUGCCGAUGUCGGCUUUGACCACGCCCCACCAGUCGAGGAUCAGCGCGCCUGUGAUGACGGUGUCCACGGGCCUGUGGUCCGUGGCGUCGCCAUUGCUGUUCCUCCCGUCCCUGGC
rnacentral:sRNA from 1 species